rnacentral:lncRNA from 1 species
CCGGAGUAAACACAUAAAUGUGAAACAAGGUGGAAAAAAGAGUACUCAAAUACCAGGGGUAGAGUAAUAUGCUUUAUUUAAAAGCAGCAGAAAUUCAACAAAACCUGUUACUCGGAGUAACAGGUUCUGUUGAAUUUCUGAUGCUUUUAAAUAAAGUAUAUAUAUAUAUAUACACACACAUUAUGCAUACAUACACAGCAUGUAUGUAUAUAUAUAUAUAUAUAUAUAUAUAUAUAUAUAUAUAUGUAUAUAUAGAGACACACAAACAUGCACACACACACACACACACACAUAUUUCUACAUAUAAAGAGAGUAGUUGACUGAUACAGAAAAUUUGGCUUCAUAUAUAUUAGUCCUUUUGCUUUUCAUCACCAGAGAUCAAUGAAAUAUAUUGUCAUUGAUACAUUGGGAGUGAAUUUACUCGCCUACACUUUUACCAUAGCUAAACAGUUGGCCUCCAGCUUAAUUAAGAAAUCAUCAUUUCUUUUUCUUUGAUCCUUUUUGUUUUAAUUUCAUAAUUUUCCCCUAAUGAAACGUUGAGGGAAAAAUAUCUAUUUGUGUUUACUUACAAAUCUCUCUCUGUCCACCUAUUUUCUUCUUUCUCUGUGCCUUUCUCUCACUUUCUCUUUAUUCUUGCUCUCUGUAUAUACACACACACACACACACACACACACACACACACACAUAUAUAUAUAUAUAGGGGGAAACUAAGAAAAAUAGACGAAAAUGCACAUGGUAAAUCAAAAAAAGUAUAGGCUUUUUAUGCAAAGUAACGAAAGGUGUAUACACUUAGAUGAACUGAGCUAGGAAUAAAAAUAAUAAAAGUCAUUAUUGUGAAAUUAUUAAAGAGAUUCAAACUCAUUGCUUUGAAUUCAAAGCAAUGAAUAGUUGUAUUCAAAUUAAUGAUUAGUAACUUACGAAACCAGUAUGCUUGAAUCUCUUUAAUAAUUUCACAAUAAUGACUUUUAUAACUUUCUUUCCUACAUCAGUUCAUCUAAUUGUAUAUAUCUUUUGUUACUUUGCAUAAAAAGUCUUUACUUUUUUUGAUUUACAAUGUGCAUUUUCGUCUUUUUUUUUUACUUUCCCCUUACAUUACCACGUGUAGUUUUUAUUUUCUUUUUGUGACAUAUUUCUAUUAUAUAUAUAUAUAUAUAUAUAUAUAUUGAUAAAACGGUAAGAUAUAUAUAUAUAUUAGAGCAUUCCCACUAUAUGUUAACAUCCAGUAACUGUUAACUAUGGAUGAGCUUUACAUAGCAUACUUAAAGGUUUUCACCAUCACACACACACACACACACACACACACACACACAUACAUGCAUAAAUAUACAUAUCUCAGCUUGUUACUUCUUUUUCUUCUCCAUCCCAUUUCACCAUCUUUAAUUCACACACUAUGUACAACAUGUUAUUUAUUGUUAUUGUAUGUUACCACAUGUUAUUUUUCUCUUUUUAAACAUUUCAUCACAACAUUUGGAUAGAAUGAAAAAAAAAUGAUUUUGUCCUUUUUCAAUGCAUUGGUCAUAAAAAACCUUAGAUCAAUUCUUAUGAGAAAUUAUUGCUGCACUACGCAACAUGAGAACAAAGUGCUCCAUGGAGUGGGACUCUAGUCUACCAAAUGUUAAUUGCAUAGAGAAACUCUCCCAAAUAUUUAUUGCAUAGAGUAAUUUAUAAGCUGCUUUCAUAACCAGAUAUAUUCUAAAAAUAAAAUAUUUUAAUUCAUUAACUCAGAAUCUAUGGCAGAUGUUUGUAAAGUAGAAGCAUUGGUCAGUAUUUUCUCUAUUUAAACACUGUUUUGCAUUAGCUGAUAUGAAUACUCAGAUAAAGAAUGAACAUCACCAGGACUUGUUCGAUAUUUUAGGGGGCAAAAACUCUGUAAUUUUUUGGUCCAUAUUUUUGUGAUAUUUCCUUCUCCUCCUAACCAGUAAAUACAUCCACCUUUGUUCAUGAUUUUAUAAUACAACCUAGUGCGACAAAAUGACAGUUGAUUCAUGACAUACAAAUAAAAAUGACUUUUUUUUUCCCAAGAUAUAUAGACAGAUAAUGUUGACGUAUCUGAUAAGGAAUGAACCAUGUAUAGAAAUGACAUCAGAAGUGCUUAUCUGGUUUUGGCAGAUAUGAGUAUAUUUCAAAUAUUUAGUUAUGGGUUCAUUAUUUGCUAAAUGUCUUUUCCUUGCUGUUUUCUUUUAUUUAAGACAAAAUCUAAAUUAACACUUUAUUCUUGAAGGUAUGUGAAAAAUAUGUAAAGGUUUUCUUUUUGCACUGAAGUUAUUAUACUCAUUCUAUUUUUCACUUUCUUUUUAAAUAAAAUGCUAUAUGAAAGAUGAAAAUUUAGCAGUAAUUUUUUAGUCCAAGAGUAAAUGCAACAAGAGUAGUGAAUUGCAUUCCUCUAUAUUUUGAAUUUGAAUUUAACCCAGGUCAUUUCCAUUUGUCAUGCUUCCAGGGACAAAAGUAGAUGAACCAGUCAUAUACUGGAGGAUAUGGAAUCAACUAUAACUACCCCCAUGCAUAUAUUUUUUUGAGCCUAAAUACAGAAAUGAAUAUUAGUGAUAUCACACUGAGGAUCCUGAGUUGGCUGCAAUGGUAUUUUAAGUUUCAUCCCUUUAAGUUCAUAUUUUGAAUACCAUUGCAAUUGAUUUUGCCUUUUAUUCAUUGAGGGAUCAAUACACUACAUUACCUGUGUAUGCUGGGUGUCAACUAUGCUUCUCCCAUGACAAAGCAAUUGAGCAUCUGCUUAAUGAAGACAUCAUUAUUAAUGUAUAUCCAUUAUUGUAUGUGAAAACAAGAGGUUUGACAUAGAAAAAUCAUGCACACACACACCUAUGUAUGAUAUAUAUAUAUAUAUAUACAAAUAUUAUAUAUUAUAAAUAUAUGCGUGUGUGUGUGUAUGUAUAUAUGUAUGUACGUACAUAUAUGUGUGUGUAUAUGUGUGCAUAUAGUGUAGAAUCCCCAGUAACCUAUAUGUCAUUAGAGCAAGGUGAGAGAUAAUAGGUAUGAAACUAUAGCAUCAUGUUUCUGUAGAAGGUGAGGAAGAGUGUCUGUGACAUUAUCUGGCAAGAACAAUAUGACGGAAUUUUUGUGAAAACAUCGAUAGCCCUCUUUGUAAAUUUGGCAGCUCCUUGUAUUGUGAUAUGUAUGUGAUAAAUACAAAAUUUAUAGAAGAAAAAUAAAAACAAACUACUAAAUAAACCAAUUUUCCAAAUUUGUAUUGAUGUGAUUUUUUUCAAAAUCAUACCAAUAGUUUCCUAUUCAAUGACCCAAUUUCAGUGACUCUUUUUUUCCUCCUAUCCCGGCAGCUAUUACAAUUGUCUUUUUAUCUACCUUGAUAUAAGGGUAAAGCUAUGUAACAUGUCAAAUAUUAUUUACUGUAAAAGAGAUAAACUGUUUUUCGUAGAAAGAAACGAACUUUUGUUGAAAUAAAUGCAUCAAAAGACGCAA